rnacentral:tRNA from 1 species
CGGGACGUGGCGCAGUCCGGUAGCGCACUUGUAUGGGGUACAAGGGGUUGUGGGUUCAUAUUCCACCGUCUUUU